rnacentral:rRNA from 1 species
AUUGAACGCUGGCGGCAGGCCUAACACAUGCAAGUCGAACGAGAGGCGGACGGGUGAGUAAUGCUUCGGAAUCUAGGUUAUGGAGGGGGAUAACUACGGGGAACUGUAGCUAAUACCGCGUACCAUAGGAUGAGCCCAAGUGGGAUGAGGUAGUUGGUGAGGUAAAGGCUCACCAAGACGACGAUCUCUAGCUGGUCUGAGAGGAUGACCAGCCACACUGGGACUGAGACACGGCCCAGACUCCUACGGGAGGCAGCAGUGGGGAAUAUUGCACAAUGGGGGCAACCUGACGCAGCCAUGCCGCGUGUGUGAAGAAGGCCUUCGGGUUGUAAAGUUCUUUCGGUAGCGAGGCGUUACCUACAGAAGAAGCACCGGCUAACUCCGUGCCAGCAGCCGCGGUAAUAC